rnacentral:rRNA from 1 species
UGUGGUGGAAAGUUUUUUCGGUGUGGGAUGAGCUCGCGGCCUAUCAGCUUGUUGGUGGGGUAAUGGCCUACCAAGGCGUCGACGGGUAGCCGGCCUGAGAGGGUGUACGGCCACAUUGGGACUGAGAUACGGCCCAGACUCCUACGGGAGGCAGCAGUGGGGAAUAUUGCACAAUGGGCGCAAGCCUGAUGCAGCGACGCCGCGUGGGGGAUGACGGCCUUCGGGUUGUAAACUCCUUUCGCUAGGGACGAAGCGUUAUGUGACGGUACCUAGAGAAGAAGCACCGGCUAACUACGUGCCAGCAGCCGCGGUAAUACGUAGGGUGCGAGCGUUGUCCGGAAUUACUGGGCGUAAAGAGCUCGUAGGUGGUUUGUCGCGUCGUUUGUGUAAGCCCGCAGCUUAACUGCGGGACUGCAGGCGAUACGGGCAUAACUUGAGUGCUGUAGGGGAGACUGGAAUUCCUGGUGUAGCGGUGGAAUGCGCAGAUAUCAGGAGGAACACCGAUGGCGAAGGCAGGUCUCUGGGCAGUAACUGACGCUGAGGAGCGAAAGCAUGGGGAGCGAACAGGAUUAGAUACCCUGGUAGUCCAUGCCGUAAACGGUGGGCGCUAGGUGUGAGUCCCUUCCACGGGGUUCGUGCCGUAGCUAACGCAUUAAGCGCCCCGCCUGGGGAGUACGGCCGCAAGGCUAAAACUCAAAGGAAUUGACGGGGGCCCGCACAAGCGGCGGAGCAUGUGGAUUAAUUCGAUGCAACGCGAAGAACCUUACCUGGGCUUGACAUACAYCAGAYCGCCCUAGAGAUANNGUUUCCCUUUGUGGUUGGUGUACAGGUGGUGCAUGGUUGUCGUCAGCUCGUGUCGUGAGAUGUUGGGUUAAGUCCCGCAACGAGCGCAACCCUUGUCUUAUGUUGCCAGCACGUGAUGGUGGGGACUCAUGAGAGACUGCCGGGGUUAACUCGGAGGAAGGUGGGGAUGACGUCAAAUCAUCAUGCCCCUUAUGUCCAGGGCUUCACACAUGCUACAAUGGUCGGUACAACGCGUUUGCGAGCCUGUGAGGGUGUGCUAAUCGCUGAAAGCCGGCCUUAGUUCGGAUUGGGGUCUGCAACUCGACCCCAUGAAGUCGGAGUCGCUAGUAAUCGCAGAUCAGCAACGCUGCGGUGAAUACGUUCCCGGGCCUUGUACACACCGCCCGUCACGUCAUGAAAGUUGGUAACACCCGAAGC